rnacentral:lncRNA from 1 species
GCAGUGUUCAAAGUAUUUAGCACAUUCUGAACAGAUCUGGAGCGGGUUUCUUCCAGAGAGCUUUGAGAAUCCCCUCCCUCCUCUUCCAAGUCCCCACCUCUCUCCUGAACAGAUUAUUGAGGAGUUAAAGGAGCUUGCAUUGGUCCCUGUGUCGUCUCUAUGAGGCUUAGAGUUCCAGAGGAAACAGAUGGGAUAAGAAAACCAGGGGAUCUAAUUACAGAGGCUUAUUUAGCAAUCCAAGCCUCAAGCCGCUGCUCCUCGCAGUUUCUCUUUCAGAGGUAUUCGUCUCAAAGCCUUGAGACAGCUACGGUUGUUUAACAUGGAGAACGAGGAAGAGGAAGAUGAAAUCUUUACCACAUUUCAGGGAGGAUAUGAAGGGCAGGAAGAUGUGGAGGAGCAGGAGGAAGAAGAACAAAAGGAAGAGGAGCCAGAGGCUGAGAGGAAGAGCAGUUGGGAUGUCCCAAUUCCAAGUCGAUCAUUGGCCAGUCGCAGAGCUUCACUUCCAUGUCCGAGUGAUGCAGACAGUUUGUGUCUGAUCUGCCAUGACGACCUACGCAAAGGAGGAGCAGUUAUCAGAGAGCUUCACUGUUCCCACAGCUUCCACAGUGAGUGCAUAGAGGAAUGGUUGUGGACCAAGCAGACCUGUCCCACGUGUCAAAAGCAUGUUGCCAUGCCAGAGCCCCUGUACUGGACAUCUACCAGAGUAAUAGUGCCCUGAGCUCUUCCAGCCAGCUCCCAUUCAAACUGCCUUGGACAUCAGAUGGCUAACCAAAACAUCAGACAUGAUGGGGGAUAACUGACAAUGGAUAAAGAACCAGCUACAAAAAAGGUGGUCAUAUGACUAAUCAGAUUUUGUUAUUCAGAGAAACAGAUUUGUAGAGCAUUUCUUUGUACAUAGGCUAAAUGAUUUUAACAUCACUAAGUGUAAAGUUUUUAUUCUUAAAAUCAUAUUUACAUAUUAAGAAAAUAUGUUAUUUUCUACUGUGUAUACCUUUUUCUGCAGAAGUUUAAGUUUUAAAAAUGUACCUCACUAUAUUAGUAAUUCAAAGUAGGCCUACUCGCAAUGUUCUGUUUUCAAAACAUGUAACUACUAUCAACAAAAGUGUAGGCCUGCAUUUACCAGGUGUGUAUUUGAGUAAAUGUGCUUUUUUACUAUACUUAAGUACUACUUGGGGAAUUUGUUCAUACAGUAUUUCACUGAUCAUCCUGACAAAGAAUUAUGGUGAUUCAUACCAAACUAACAAGUCAAAAUCACAUUCCUGUGAUGUUUACUAAACUUUAAUUGAAAACAGCCA